AUGACCUUACUUGAACAGGAUCUGUUCUAUAGACAGGAACUGAAGUCUGGUGGAUGAACCAUGACCCUGUGAUCAGAGCGUGAUUAAUGGGAUGGUUGUCUGACAGACU
rnacentral:snoRNA from 1 species